rnacentral:tRNA from 1 species
CAGAGCGUAGCUAAAAAGUAUAGCAUCUCCCUUACACUGAGAAAAUGCCCGUGCAAGUCGGGCCGAACUGA